rnacentral:tRNA from 3 species
AGAAACUUAGGAUUAACCAAAA